rnacentral:rRNA from 1 species
UACGAAGGGGGGCUAGCGUUGCUCGGAAUCACUGGGCGUAAAGGGUGCGUAGGCGGGUUUUUAAGUCAGAGGUGAAAUCCUGGAGCUCAACUCCAGAACUGCCUUUGAUACUGAAAGUCUUGAGUAUGGGAGAGGUGAGUGGAACUGCGAGUGUAGAGGUGAAAUUCGUAGAUAUUCGCAAGAACACCAGUGGCGAAGGCGACUUACUGGACACAUAUUGACGCUGAGGUGCGAAAGCGUGGGGGGCAAACAGG